CACACUAACAGACACACAGACACACACACUAACAGACACACAGACACACACACUAACAGACACACACAGUCAGACACACACAUACACACUAACAGACACACACUAGCAGACACACUCACACAGUCAGACACAAACACACACACAUUAACAGACACACUAACAAACACACACACACUCACAUUAACACUUUUUUUUUUUUAAGUUCUCUAUCUCCCUGGUGGUCCAGUGGCUGCGGGCGG